rnacentral:rRNA from 1 species
GAUGAACGCUGGCGGCGUGCUUAACACAUGCAAGUCGAACGGUGAAGGCGGAGCUUGCUCUGCUGGAUCAGUGGCGAACGGGUGAGUAACACGUGAGCAAUCUGCCCCUGACUCUGGGAUAAGCGCUGGAAACGGCGUCUAAUACUGGAUACGAGCUGCGAAGGCAUCUUCAGCAGCUGGAAAGAACUUCGGUCAGGGAUGAGCUCGCGGCCUAUCAGCUUGUUGGUGAGGUAACGGCUCACCAAGGCGUCGACGGGUAGCCGGCCUGAGAGGGUGACCGGCCACACAGGGAAUGAGACACGGCCCAGACUCCUACGGGAGGCAGGAGUGGGGAAUAUUGCACAAAGGGCGAAAGCCUGAUGCAGCAACGCCGCGUGAGGGACGACGGCCUUCGGGUUGUAAACCUCUUUUAGCAGGGAAGAAGCGAAAGUGACGGUACCUGCAGAAAAAGCGCCGGCUAACUACGU